CGCACAUUGCGCCCCUUGGUAUUCCAUGGGGCAUGCCUGUUCGAGCGUCAUCUUAACCCUCAAGCAUUGCUUGGUGUUGGGCGUCUGUCCCGCCUUCGCGCGUGGACUCGCCCCAAAGGCAUUGGCAGUGGUCUCCGGUACCUCAACGCGCAGUACAUAGCGCAUCUUGGGACGCCGCGGGUCGCGACCAUAAAGCUACUUUCAAGUUUGACCUCGGAUCAGGUAGGGAUACCCGCUGAACUUAA
rnacentral:misc_RNA from 1 species